GACGAACGCUGGCGGCGUGCUUAACACAUGCAAGUCGAACGGAAAGGCCUCUUUCGGGGGGUACUCGAGUGGCGAACGGGUGCGUAACACGUGAGUAACCUGCCCUUGUCUUUGUGAUAACUUCAGGAAACUGGGGCUAAUACCGGAUAGGAGCUCCUGCUGCAUGGUGGGGGUUGGAAAGUUUGGGCGGUUGUGGAUGGCCUCGCGGCGUAUCGGCUUGUUGGUGGGGUAGUGGCGUACCAAGGCUUUGACGGGUAGCCGGCCUGAGAGGGUGACCGGCCACAUUGGGACUGAGAUAAGGCCCAGACGCCGACGGGAGGCAUCAGUGGGGAAUAGUGCACAAAGGGUGGAAGGCCGAUGCAGCAACGCCGGGGGCGGGAGGACGGACCUCGGGUUGUAAACCGCCUUCGCUCAGGACGAGGACUUGUGUGACGGUAGUGGAUAAAGAAGCACCGGCUAACUACGUG
rnacentral:rRNA from 1 species